GAUGAAGAACGUAGCGAAAUGCGAUACGUAAUGUGAAUUGCAGAAUUCAGUGAAUCAUCGAAUCUUUGAACGCACCUUGCGCUCUUUGGUAUUCCGAAGAGCAUGCCUGUUUGAGUGUCAUGAAAAUAUCAACCUUGACUUGGGUUUUGUGCUCUAGUCUCGGCUUGGAAUUGGGUGCUUGCCGCUUUUACGAGCGGCUCACCUUAAAUGUAUUAGCUGGAUCUGUCUUUGAGACUUGGUUUGACUUGGCGUAAUAAGUAUUUCGCUAAGGACAUUCUUCGGAGUGGCCUCGUUUCUAGGACGCUUGUCCGCUUUCCAAUACAAGUUCCACCUCGUGGACAUGACUUUUUAUUAUCUGGCCUCAAAUCAGGUAGGACUACCCGCUGAACUUAAGCAUAUCAAUAAGCGGAGGA
rnacentral:misc_RNA from 1 species